rnacentral:rRNA from 1 species
AUUGAACGCUGGCGGCAGGCCUAACACAUGCAAGUCGAGCGGCUGAACGGAGCUGGCUCCUGGAUUCAUCGGCGGACGGGGGCGUAAUGCCUAUGAAUCUGCCUCUUAGCAGUGGAUAACGUCCGCGAACGGGCGCUAAUACCGCUUACGCCCUGGACGAUCGAGUGGGGGAGCUUCGGACCUCACGCUAUCAGAUGAGCCUAGGUCGGAUUAGCUAGUUGGUGGGGUAAAGGCCUACCAAGGCGACGAUCCGUAACUGGUCUGAGAGGAUGAUCAGUCACACUGGAACUGAGACACGGUCCAGACUCCUACGGGAGGCAGCAGUGGGGAAUAUUGGACAAUGGGCGAAAGCCUGAUCCAGCCAUGCCGCGUGUGUGAAGAAGGCCUUCGGAUUGUAAAGCCCUUUAGGUUGGGAGGAAGGCCAGCAGGUUAAUACCUUGCUGUUUUGACGGUACCAAAAGAAUAAGCACCGGCUAACUUCGUG